rnacentral:tRNA from 1 species
GCGAGAGUAGUUCAGUGGUAGAACAGUAGCCUUCCAAGCUACAUACGAGGGUUCGAUUCCCUUCUCUCGCUCCA